CUGAGGUCAAAGUUGAGGUUGAGGUUGCAGUUGAGGUAAAGGUUGAGGUAAAGGUUGAGGUUAAGGUUGAAGUCAAGGUUAAGGUUGAGGUUGGGGUUGUGGUUGAGGCUGAGGUUAGGGUUUAGGUAGAGGUUAAAGUCAAGGUUGAGGCUGAGGUUAAGGUAAAGGUUAGGGUUGAGGUUAAGAGUAAGGUAAAGGUAAAGGUUGAAGUUAAGGUUGAGGCUAAGGUCAAGGUUGAGGUUGAGGCUAAGGUUGAAGUUAAGGUAAAGGUUAGGGUUGAGGUUAAGGUUAGAGUUGAGGUUGAGGUUAAGGUUGAGGCUGAGGUUAAGGUUGAGGUUGAGGCUAAGGUUGAGGUUGAGGUUAAGGUUGAGGUUGAGGCUAAGGUUGAGGUUGAGGUUAAGGUUGAGGUCAAUAUUAAGGUUGAGUUUAAGGUAAAGGUUAGGGUUGAGGUUAAGGUUAGGGUUGAGAUUGAGGUUAAGGUUAGGGUUCAGGCUAAGGUUAAGGUUGAAGCUGAGGUUAAGGUUGAGGCUAAGGUUAAGGUUAAGGCUGAGCUUAAUGUUAAGGUUGAGGCUGAGGAUGAGGUUGAGGCUGAGGUUGAUGUUAAGGUUAAGGUUGAGGUUGAGGUUGAGGUUAAGGUUGAGGCUGAGGUUAAUGUUAAGGUUAGGGUUGAGGCUAAGGUUAAGGUUGAGGCUGAGGUUAAUGUUAAGGUUAGGGUUGAGGCUAAGGUUAAGGUUGAGGCUGAGGUUGAGGUUGAGGUUGAG
rnacentral:lncRNA from 1 species